GGCGAACGCUGGCGGCGUGCCUAAUACAUGCAAGUCGAGCGAAGUUUUUCUGGUGCUUGCACUAGAAAAACUUAGCGGCGAACGGGUGAGUAACACGUAAAGAACCUGCCUCAUAGACUGGGACAACUAUUGGAAACGAUAGCUAAUACCGGAUAACAGUAUUUCUCGCAUGAGAGAUAUUUAAAAGUUGGUUAUGCUAACACUAUGAGAUGGCUUUGCGGUGCAUUAGCUAGUUGGUGGGGGAAAGGCCCACCAAGGCGACGAUGCAUAGCCGACCUGAGAGGGUGAUCGGCCACACUGGGACUGAGACACGGCCCAGACUCCUACGGGAGGCAGCAGUAGGGAAUCUUCCGCAAUGGGCGAAAGCCUGACGGAGCAACGCCGCGUGAGUGAAGAAGGAUUUCGGUUCGUAAAGCUCUGUUGUUAGGGAAGAAUGGAUAUGUAGUAACUAUACAUGUAAGAGACGGUACCUAACCAGAAAGCCACGGCUAACUACGUG
rnacentral:rRNA from 1 species